GCCUCUAUAGCUCAAUGGUAGAGCGUCUGAUUCGUAAUCAGUUGAUAUCGGUUCGAUUCCGGUUAGGGGCU
rnacentral:tRNA from 1 species